AUUGAACGCUGGCGGUAUGCUUAACACAUGCAAGUCGAACGGUAACAGGCCUUCGGGCGCUGACGAGUGGCGGACGGGUGCGUAACGCGUAGGAAUCUGCCUGUUAGUGGGGGACAACUUGGGGAAACUCAAGCUAAUACCGCAUACGCCCUACGGGGGAAAGCGGGGGACCUUCGGGCCUCGCGCUAACAGAUGAGCCUGCGUUGGAUUAGCUAGUUGGUAGGGUAAAGGCCUACCAAGGCGACGAUCCAUAGCUGGUCUGAGAGGACGAUCAGCCACACUGGGACUGAGACACGGCCCAGACUCCUACGGGAGGCAGCAGUGGGGAAUAUUGGACAAUGGGCGCAAGCCUGAUCCAGCAAUGCCGCGUGUGUGAAGAAGGCCUGAGGGUUGUAAAGCACUUUCAAUAGGGAGGAAAACCUGUCGGCGAAUACCCGGCAGCUUGACAUUACCUAUACAAGAAGCACCGGCUAACUCCGUGCAGCAGCCGCCGUAAUAC
rnacentral:rRNA from 1 species